rnacentral:rRNA from 1 species
CCUACGGGGGGCUGCAGUCGAGGAUCUUCCGCAAUGGGCGAAAGCCUGACGGAGCGACGCCGCGUGGAGGACGAAGGCCUUAGGGUUGUAAACUCCUGUCGAGGGUUAUGAAGAGCGGCUUGCGAACAGCAAGUCGUGUGACGUAAGCCCUGGAGGAAGCACCGGCUAACUCUGUGCCAGCAGCCGCGGUAAUACAGAGGGUGCUAACGUUGUUCGGAAUUACUGGGCAUAAAGCGUACGUAGGCGGCGCGUCAAGUGCGGGGUGAAAGCCCACGGCUUACCCGUGGAACAGCUUUGCAUACUGACGUGCUAGAGUGCGGUAGAGGAGAGCGGAACUCUUGGUGGAGCGGUGAAAUGCGUAGAUAUCAAGAGGAACACCGAAGGCGAAGGCAGCUCUCUGGGCCGUUACUGACGCUGAGGUACGAAAGCCAGGGGAUCAAACGGGAUUAGAUACCCCGGUAGUC